rnacentral:rRNA from 1 species
AGAGUUUGAUCCUGGCUCAGGAUGAACGCUAGCGACAGGCCUAACACAUGCAAGUCGAGGGGCAGCGGAGAGGUAGCAAUACCUUUGCCGGCGACCGGCGCACGGGUGAGUAACACGUAUGCAAUCCACCUGUAACAGGGGGAUAACCCGGAGAAAUCCGGACUAAUACCCCAUAAUAUGGGCUCUCCGCAUGGAGGGUCCAUUAAAGAGAGCAAUUUUGGUUACAGACGAGCAUGCGCUCCAUUAGCCAGUUGGCGGGGUAACGGCCCACCAAAGCGACGAUGGAUAGGGGUUCUGAGAGGAAGGUCCCCCACAUUGGAACUGAGACACGGUCCAAACUCCUACGGGAGGCAGCAGUGAGGAAUAUUGGUCAAUGGACGAGAGUCUGAACCAGCCAAGUAGCGUGAAGGAUGAAGGUCCUACGGAUUGUAAACUUCUUUUAUAAGGGAAUAAACCCUUCCACGUGUGGGAGCUUGUAUGUACCUUAUGAAUAAGCAUCGGCUAACUCCGUGCCAGCAGCCGCGGUAAUACGGAGGAUGCGAGCGUUAUCCGGAUUUAUUGGGUUUAAAGGGUGCGUAGGCGGUUUAUUAAGUUAGUGGUUAAAUAUUUGAGCUAAACUCAAUUGUGCCAUUAAUACUGGUAAACUGGAGUACAGACGAGGUAGGCGGAAUAAGUUAAGUAGCGGUGAAAUGCAUAGAUAUAACUUAGAACUCCGAUAGCGAAGGCAGCUUACCAGACUGUAACUGACGCUGAAGCACGAGAGCGUGGGUAGCGAACAGGAUUAGAUACCCUGGUAGUCCACGCCGUAAACGAUGCUCACUGGUUCUGUGCGAUAUAUUGUACGGGAUUAAGCGAAAGUAUUAAGUGAGCCACCUGGGGAGUACGUCGGCAACGAUGAAACUCAAAGGAAUUGACGGGGGCCCGCACAAGCGGAGGAACAUGUGGUUUAAUUCGAUGAUACGCGAGGAACCUUACCCGGGCUUGAA